rnacentral:rRNA from 1 species
GAUGAACGCUGGCGGCGUGCCUAAUACAUGCAAGUCGAGCGAACAGAUGAGGAGCUUGCUCCUCUGACGUUAGCGGCGGACGGGUGAGUAACACGUGGAUAACCUACCUAUAAGACUGGGAUAACUUCGGGAAACCGGAGCUAAUACCGGAUAAUAUAUUGAACCGCAUGGUUCAAUAGUGAAAGACGGUUUUGCUGUCACUUAUAGAUGGAUCCGCGCCGCAUUAGCUAGUUGGUAAGGUAACGGCUUACCAAGGAACGAAUGCGUAGCCGACCUGAGAGGGUGAUCGGCCACACUGGAACUGAGACACGGUCCAGACUCCUACGGGAGGCAGCAGUAGGGAAUCUUCCGCAAUGGGCGAAAGCCUGACGGAGCAACGCCGCGUGAGUGAUGAAGGUCUUCGGAUCGUAAAACUCUGUUAUUAGGGAAGAACAAAUGUGUAAGUAACUAUGCACGUCUUGACGGUACCUAAUCAGAAAGCCACGGCUAACUACGUG